CCGGCGCACGGGUGAGUAACACGUAUCCAACCUGCCGUCUACUCUUGGACAGCCUUCUGAAAGGAAGAUUAAUACAAGAUGGCAUCAUGAAUCCGCAUGUUCACAUGAUUAAAGGUAUUCCGGUAGACGAUGGGGAUGCGUUCCAUUAGAUAGUAGGCGGGGUAACGGCCCACCUAGUCUUCGAUGGAUAGGGGUUCUGAGAGGAAGGUCCCCCACAUUGGAACUGAGACACGGUCCAAACUCCUACGGAAGGCAGCAG
rnacentral:rRNA from 1 species